rnacentral:rRNA from 1 species
AAUAGAUACCCGGGUAGUCCACGCCGUAAACGAUGAGUGCUAAGUGUUGGAGGGUUUCCGCCCUUCAGUGCUGCAGCUAACGCAUUAAGCACUCCGCCUGGGGAGUACGGUCGCAAGACUGAAACUCAAAGGAAUUGACGGGGGCCCGCACAAGCGGUGGAGCAUGUGGUUUAAUUCGAAGCAACGCGAAGAACCUUACCAGGUCUUGACAUCUCCUGACCGCCCUGGAGACAGGGUCUUCCCUUCGGGGACAGGAUGACAGGUGGUGCAUGGUUGUCGUCAGCUCGUGUCGUGAGAUGUUGGGUUAAGUCCCGCAACGAGCGCAACCCUUGGUUCUAGUUGCCAGCAUUGAGUUGGGCGCUCUAGAGCGACUGCCGGCGACAAGUCGGAGGAAGGUGGGGAUGACGUCAAAUCAUCAUGCCCCUUAUGACCUGGGCUACACACGUGCUACAAUGGAUGGUACAAAGGGCAGCGAAGCGGCGACGCAUGAGCGAAUCCCAGAAAACCCAUUCUCAGUUCGGAUUG